GCCACGGUGGUCUAGCGGUUAGAACGUUGGCCUUGUAAUCCUGGAGUCUCGGGUUCGAUUCCCGGCGGUGGCC
rfam:Zootermopsis nevadensis contig17914, whole genome shotgun sequence.